rnacentral:rRNA from 1 species
UACAGAGGUCCCAAGCGUUGUUCGGAUUCAUUGGGCGUAAAGGGUGCGUAGGUGGCGCCGUAAGUCGGGGGUGAAAUUUCGGAGCUUAACUCCGAAACUGCAUUCGAUACUGCGUUGCUUGAGGACUGGAGAGGAGACUGGAAUUCAUGGUGUAGCAGUGAAAUGCGUAGAGAUCAUGAGGAAGACCAGUGGCGAAGGCGGGUCUCUGGACAGUUCCUGACACUGAGGCACGAAGGCCAGGGGAGCAAACGGG